rnacentral:rRNA from 1 species
CACGUAGGGCGCGAGCGUUGUCCGGAAUUAUUGGGCGUAAAGAGCUCGUAGGCGGCCUGUUGCGUCCGCUGUGAAAGCCCGGGGCUUAACCCCGGGUCUGCAGUGGAUACGGGCAGGCUAGAGGUAGGUAGGGGAGAAUGGAAUUCCCGGUGUAGUGGUGGAAUGCGUAGAGAUCGGGAGGAACACCGGUGGCGAAGGCGGCUCACUGGGCCGGUCCUGACGCUCAGGCGCGAAAGCGUGGGGAGCGAUCCGG